rnacentral:rRNA from 1 species
CUCGGAGUUUGAUCCUGGCUCAGGAUGAACGCUAGCGGCAGGCUUAACACAUGCAAGUCGAGGGGUAUAGUUCUUCGGAGCUAGAGACCGGCGCACGGGUGCGUAACGCGUAUGCAAUCUACCUUUUACAGAGGGAUAGCCCAGAGAAAUUUGGAUUAAUACCUCAUAGUAUGUGAGAAUCGCAUGGUUUUUCACAUUAAAGUUCCAACGGUAAAAGAUGAGCAUGCGUCCCAUUAGCUAGAUGGUAAGGUAACGGCUUACCAUGGCGACGAUGGGUAGGGGUCCUGAGAGGGAGAUCCCCCGACACUGGUACUGAGACACGGACCAGACUCCUACGGGGAGCAGCAGUGAGGAAUAUUGGACAA